rnacentral:misc_RNA from 1 species
UCAAUUAUAUGGAUUCUAUCAGCAUCACUAAGGGCUUCGAGGAGGGCCUGGUUGCAAGUGAAGUUAACAAACUGGAUGAGCGGAGAAACUUCAGAGAAGACUUUGUAAGCACCCAUUUUAUAGAUGACAUCGAAUGGAGAGGGGCUCCUAGACGGUGACUGGGUUGUUAUUCAUGUGAAGGAGCAGUUGCAGAGCCUCCUUGAAGUAGAAAGCUGCCCUGUGGAGAGGCUUUCCUAUUGGGGAUAGCUGUUGAUUGAGCCGCGCCAAUAUCCCUUGCGCGUGUGAGAAAUUCCCAGUCCCUACCAGCUCAGCUGCCUUGUAGAGCUGGUCCAGCAACGCAUUUUGGUGCUGUUGUUGCUGGUGUUGGGCUGCUACUUCUUCUUUCUUCACCACCAAUGGCUUCUGUUGAAGAUGUGGAUGAAGAAACUGCAUCCCUUGUGGAAAUCCCGGAUGCUGUUGGUGUUGCUGCUGCUGUUUUCGUAGUAAUAUCUCGUGCCCGGGAUCGUUGAAUUGAAGCUUGGGAAUCAUCUGAGAUAUUGGGUCUAUGCCCCCGGAGUUGUGGCGCUUUUGUUGGGGCUGAAGGAGGUGAUUUUCUUGCUGGGGAAACGACAAUGGCAAGAAAAAGUUUGGAUUUUGACAGUGUGGAUUGUGAGGAUAUUGCUGGUUCAUUAACAUCUGUGGAUUAAGUACCAGUGGCUUCUCCUCCUGAGCGCCAAUUUGGUGUUGCAGAUUAUGAUGGUAAAGCAUUCCAGUAGGCAAAGUAGCCGGAAGAGGAACACUGCUAGCUGGAGAACCAAAAACUGGGUUUUGUAUACUACAGUUACUGUUGUUGUUGCUUCCCAAUCC